GUUGGUCAAGUUAAGAUGCUUUAUGCUCUUGUUAUCUGUUUGGCAAUGCGGAACUUCUUUGUUUUUGCUGAAGGGUACCUAUAAUCAUACAUUUAUACUUUGGAUGAUAUAAGUUGCUAAUAGCUCUACUUUGAAUUUUCAGACGCCUUUUUAUGUUGCUUAAUGCUCGGGCUGAAUUCCUCUUCAAUUCUUUUAUGAUUGAUAUUACUUAGCCUCAUUAUAUAGUCGAUACCGGCAUACAUUAAGCUAUUAGUUCUCAUCAGAUGUUUUGCUAUUGUUUUGGCAGGGGAAAUGACGUAUUGAGGCACACCACUUAUCAAGUAAUAUUGUUCCUAACAACUUCAGAAUUUGGAGAAAAAAUGAGGCAGAUUCUUGUAACAAUGUCUAGUGGAAGUUUCUUGUCACCAGGAGACCGAAAAAUUCUAGCAAUAUCCAACUCACCUUGGAACUCACAAAGUGCCUUAGUGGUAAAAUUUCAAUGUUGAAUCUUUCCAGGUAUGCAGUUUGAAACAAAUGAACAUUCAAUGCUUCUAUUCUUGUGUUGUUUGUUUGCUAUAUUAAAUUAUAGUUCUUUUCACUUUUUUGGUUUGGUUUCUUUGUUAGGAAGUGUUUCAUCAUUUGGUUAAUGGUUUUUCUUGGAUUUAGGAAUGCAAUUUUAAUAAUUGUAGCCAUUGUAAUAAUUGUGUGUAUAUACGGAAUAUGCAUCCUGCAUCACUUCAUCAGGUUAUGGUAAACAUUGUCAAUAUUUGUCUAUAAUUUCUUGCAUUUUGAACCAGGUUUUCAUUCGGGUGGCAGGGGUAGUGCAAACUUAAUCAUGUUAUGUUAAUCGUAGUCCUUGUAGAAUGAGGUGAAGACGACUAGUAACUAAAUGUUUUUGCGACCAGCAUGUGAUUAUGUUUUUGAGAAUUUUCAAUAUUGUGUAGUGGGGCGCGAUGCCUUUUGUUAGUGAGGAGGCAGUAAGUUUUGUUGGCUUGUGGUGGAUUUAGUUUCUAUUGUUUUGCUCAUUUUAGCGCUCUUUGUGAAAAUAGAAGCCAAAACAAAAAAAAAUUGAAUUCCACACAAAAAAUACUUCAAUACACUUAAACAAAAAGCAAGCAAAACAAAAAUAUGAGAAACUUGACUAAAACAUCGAGUUUCCCUUUCUUAGAGCAGAAUCUGAUUUAGUGUGCCUUCCUUUUGUUGUUAGUCUGAAAUACUGAGUUUCCCCAAGUUUCUUAAUAGUAUUUUUUUGUUGUCUCUUGUUUAAGGGGUUUGGUCAUUAAUGCAAUUCUUUACUUUACUCACACAGAUAAUGAUUGGAUUAAGCUAAAGAUAGAAGCAUUUCUCAGCCAAUUUCUUAAGUCUGCUGCCAAUUUUUAACUCUGCUGCUGAUUUUGUAACUCUGCUGCCGUUUUCGUAAGUCAUUUCCUCCUUUUGUCUCUUUUCUUUGUUUUCUGUUGCUUUUCAAGUAAUAAAUGCAUUAAGGAUUUACUAUCAUGGUGUAGGUACUGAACGCAUUGUAGAAAUUUGGUAUGGUUUUGGUUGUUUUAUAUGCUAAAUGAAGAUAAUGUAUGAAUGCACUGCUAUUGUAUUGUUGUCUAGUUUUUAGGCUUGGUAUUGCUUCUCCCUAUUAUGAGACACUACUUGUGCUUACAAAACAUAUUUGCUCUUUGAAAUUCCCUGGGGUUGACCAUGAUUUGGUUUGAAAUUAAGAUAUUUAUAACAUUGUAAUUUAUCGAGUUCUAUUUUUGUGAGUUAGAGAUUUUAUCCUUUGUUUGCAUAAGAUAUUACUAUGGUAUUCUUGUUAUCAGUUCAUUUAUUUGAUGUGUCUAGAAAAGAGAAGCCAUUAUGUUAUGUUUGAAGCUAGGAACCAUUAUCUUGUGGAAUUAUGUCAUGGACUAAGUCAAUUUGUUCAAUUCCGUUCGUUUUUUUAUGUAUCCUAAUAUAUAUACUUAUGUUUUUUCAGGUAAUUGAAUAAGAAGAAUCAAGAGAUGAUUAAGGAUCAUGAAGCAACAUAACAUACUAGGGAU
rnacentral:lncRNA from 1 species